CAGAGAAGCUGUGGCUGCCCCAUCCCUGGCAGUGUUCAAGGCCAGGUUGGAGAGGGCUUGGAGCGACCUGGUCUAGUGGAAG